CGCAUCGCACACAUAAUUUUAUUGAACAAUCAAUCAGGGUUUUAUGUUCAGUGUCUCAGCAGAAUAUGAGACCAACAUAUGGAAGAAACUUCAGAAGAUUCCACUAAACCACUAAAGGAUGUAAACCAAAGGAUGUACUUUCCAUAAAUUCAGGACAAGAAGACAGCAGCAAAAUUUGGUAGUGACUGAGGAAACAGUGAAGUGACAGGAUACAACAGACUGUCUCCCUCAUCAACCCUCAGUGGGUCAAAUUAAGUCCCCUGUCCAGUGUGUGGAGAACCCUGAAGGAUCAGGUGGAAUCAUAAUAAACGACCAGGAUACGUUUGCCAUGAACGAACAACACCCGGUGGCAGUUCUUCUCUCUAGAGGUUAAAAGACCAUUUCUGUUGUAAUGGCAAGUGAAGACAAGAAGGGAUGCUUCCCAAGACCUUAACGUCUUACCCUUUAUACUUCAAAUAAAAUAAUUUUACCAUAAUCUGUCUUCUUUGCCUUUCAAAUGAUCUAUGUAGCAACUUACAGUAGAAUGUCAAUAUGAAUAUGUCCUCUCCUGAAUAAAGAAAGUCUGUAAAUUUAUUCAUUUAUGAUUUAAUGCCAUGUCAGCAAAAGUGGCUAUAUUCAUG